UUAGAUACCCUAUUAUACUAGUAAUGACCUAAAUUAUUAAUAGAUAUAAUCUUUAAAUUCGGAGAAUUUGGCGGUAAUUUAGUCUUGUCAGAGGAACCUGUUUUAAGAUAAUCGAUACACCACGUAUAAUCUUACUUAUUUUAAUUAGUUUAUAUACCGUCAUUGUCAGAUAAUUUUUAGAGAAUUAAGAAUUAUUAAAGUUUAAAUGUAAUACAAGUCAAAUUAGAUCAAGGUGUAGCUUAUAAAUAAGUUAAAAUGGGUUACAAUAAAAUUUAUUUAUUAUGGAGUAGUUAUAAAAGAAUGAUUAUUAUGAAGGAGGAUUUGAUUGUAAUGAUAUUUUAAUAAGUUUAAAAGAUAUAAGCUCUAAAUUAUGUACAUAUCGCCCGUC
rnacentral:rRNA from 1 species